AUUGAACGCUGGCGGCAGGCCUAACACAUGCAAGUCGAGCGAGCGGCGGACGGGUGAGUAAUGCCUGGGAAACUGCCUGAUGGAGGGGGAUAACUACUGGAAACGGUAGCUAAUACCGCAUACCAUCAGAUGUGCCCAGAUGGGAUUAGCUAGUAGGUGGGGUAACGGCUCACCUAGGCGACGAUCCCUAGCUGGUCUGAGAGGAUGACCAGCCACACUGGAACUGAGACACGGUCCAGACUCCUACGGGAGGCAGCAGUGGGGAAUAUUGCACAAUGGGCGCAAGCCUGAUGCAGCCAUGCCGCGUGUGUGAAGAAGGCCUUCGGGUUGUAAAGCACUUUAAGUUGGGAGGCGUUACCAACAGAAUAAGCACCGGCUAACUUCGUGCCAGCAGCCGCGGUAAUAC
rnacentral:rRNA from 1 species